CUUCGCCCUGCACCCCACAGCCUCGCAGCCCCUCAGCGGCGCAGCCACCGCAGCCCCUACACAGACACAGCCUCCACCGCCACCGUAGAAGAUCCGUCGCCGUCGGAAUCCCAGCUUCUUUUCGUUCCAGAUCAGUGCUUUCUUUAUCAGAUUCCCUUCGCGCAGCUGAACCUUCGAGAACCUUCCAGUCCCUUUCCGCAACACCGUCGACCACUACCCCUACGCCUACUUCCUCUACACCCCUUUCCUCAUCCUUUCCUCCGCCGCAUCCCGCCUCCUCCGCCAACCCUGGGGAUCCGCUGCUCCUCCCGCCUCCGCGCCGAGUCGGAUCCCCGCGGAAUCGGUGAGUUUGGUCGACGAGUUAGGUUAGAGUGUGUUGUCUGGUUGCGACUGCGAGGCUUGUGGCGGUGUGGGUUCCGACUGCCCUUGUUUGGGCUUGGGUGUGCUGGAUGACGUGGGCAGUGAGUGCGGGCCGGGAUGUGGGUGCGGACCAGAGUGCGGAAACCGGUCGAUUCAGAAUGGGGUUGCUGUUCGGGUGAAGAUUGUGAGGGAUGCAAGGAAAGGGUGGUGUUUGCAUUCUGACCAGUGGAUUCGGAAAGAGGAGUUCUUGUUUGAGUAUGCAGUUUUGGUUUCUAGACAGUUUGUGGAUAUGACUCGCAUGAGAAUGAAGGUCUUCUAGCAGCAUUUCCCAAGUUGAUAGGAACUGGAAAACAACACACGUAUGUUGAGACUGAGAAUGUGCGUUAUGUUUAC